rnacentral:rRNA from 1 species
GCGAACGCUGGCGGCAGGCCUAACACAUGCAAGUCGAACGAACCUUUCGGGGUUAGUGGCGGCCGGGUGAGUAACACGUGGGAACGUGCCUUUAGGUUCGGAAUAACUCAGGGAAACUUGUGCUAAUACCGAAUGUGCCCUUCGGGGGAAAGAUUAAUCGCCUUUAGAGCGGCCCGCGUCUGAUUAGCUAGUUGGUUGAGGUAAUGGCUCACCAAGGCGACGAUCAGUAGCUGGUCUGAGAGGAUGAUCAGCCACAUUGGGACUGAGACACGGCCCAAACUCCUACGGGAGGCAGCAGUGGGGAAUCUUGCGCAAUGGGCGAAAGCCUGACGCAGCCAUGCCGCGUGAAUGAUGAAGGUCUUAGGAUUGUAAAAUUCUUUCACCGGGGACGAUAAUGACGGUACCCGGAGAAGAAGCCCCGGCUAACUUCGUG